AGCAGUUUCUGCUUGGCUUUUCUCCAAGAACUACGGCCUGAAAAACCGCCGUUGUAAACUUCAACUACAGAAAC
rnacentral:tRNA from 1 species